AGGAGGAGGGGACCAGCUUCUCUUGCGCGGCUCCUCUUGUAAGAGUCACAGAUGAACCAAGCCAGAGAGCCUCCGUCCCCAGGGAACAGUCCGUGUGAGGGUCACACAGGUCGUCCUGGGUUUCUAAGUCUCAGGAACUGUCAUCCCGGCUAGAAUGUUCUGUGCUACCAGAGGCUCUCGCAGGCUCUCGUUUCCCUCACCAUGUCAUCUAGGAGCCACGAGGGCAGGCGUCUCAGGAGGAAGCAAACAUGGAGAGAGAGGAGGAGACACGGGUGCCAUGGGAGGAAGGCUGCCCGCCCCGCCCUGGCCCUUGACCAUGAGCGGCUGCCCUGUCUGCGCCUGGAGGGGUCAGGCCCCACUUCCUCUCACUGCACACAGCCCGGACGGAGCUGGACAAUGGAAUGCGGGGCUUGUCCUCUAAAAGGAGAAAUAACCACAGCUGCCAAGGUCCCGUGGCUGGGAUGCGACAACACAGGCGGGCUGGCUCCAGAAACACGGACGUGACACCAGGCCGGAGAAUCUUACAUCUUGUUCCCCUGAAGUCACACCACUUGGUGCGUCAAAUCAAAGAGAGCGGUCAUCUCUAGAAAGGACGAUCUGCCUUAAGGUGGAAGAGAGGGCAUUUUCCCAGGCUCGUGGGGACAAAGCCCUGUGGACAGCAGUCACGGGCAUUUCUGUUUUCUCUUCUGGAGAAACUGGGCCAGGGCCACUCCACCACCUGGUCAUCAGAGUCAGAACCAGAACACGACUUUUCCUCCCCCACCUGCUGUUUUUACCCAGAGAACCUCGGUCUGAAUGACACAGAGCCAGGGCUGGCCCAUUGUGCUAGAACAGUGACCAGUCAGCCUGCCUGAAACAGGUAAUAGGCUAGCAGGCGAGGAGGUUGCCUGGAACAGUCUUGUCUUCUGUGUCCCUACAAACUCACCCCAUCAGUUUAUUCCCAUGAGGUGUGGCGCGUGUAGACCCUACAGCAUGGUGUUUCAUCCACGUGAGGAAUCAUAAACUCUACACCCCAAGGGUACUUGGGGAGUCCAUCUUUGAGCUGCAUUCUUGGGAUAUCAACCUGCCUGAUGACCAAAGAGAUUCACCUAAUCUUGUUUUAAACAAGAUGGAAAUCUGCACCUCGCUCGUGGAAAAGUUCAAAUGCACAGGCAGAAAUAGCACGGCGGCUGCACCACCAUCUGGGAUCCAGGCCCCGGUAAACCAUCCGCUCUGCCAUCCUCAACAUGUCCUUCCAUCUCGUGGCCCAGAAUGGCUACUCCAGUACCUGCCAUCAUGUUUACAUUCCAGCCAUGAGAAGGGUGGCGUGAUGAAAGGCAAGGACACGCCACCUCCUCUGAAGGACAGGACUCAAAAUUUGCACACACCUCACUUUCGUACACAUUCCAUUAGCCAGAACUUUGUCACAUAGUCACAGCCAGCUAAGAGCAAGGCUACGAACCUAACAACGUAAGCACUAGUACCAUGUAGCAAAUGCACACUGGGGCACCGACCAGCAAUUCUG
rnacentral:lncRNA from 1 species